rnacentral:lncRNA from 1 species
ACACGCAACCUAAAGUACUGUUGUGAGACUCGAGAGAUGGGAUGUUUGCCCCUCUCUGCACCAUCACGCACCCCCUCUCUACUCUCUGUUUUGGUCUCACGCCACCUAUCUCUAUAUAUCUCACGCAACCUCUCUUUAUCUCUCACGCCACAAAAUUCUGGUUUUGUGAGGCUCAAAAUGCAAGUUUGAGGCUCAAACGCAGAGUUUGCUAUGAGGCUCAACAUGCAAAGUUUGCUAUGAGGCUUAAAACGUAGCCCAGAGUAUUUGGUUUUGAUCAACAUUAAGCUUGCAGGUUUGUUGUUGUGGUUUUGAUCAUGGGUUCCUUAUGCCUAUAUUUUGUUGUCUGUUUGGGGAUUUGAUCAUUGGUUUUGUGUAUGAUUUUAUAUGGGUUCUGUGUAUAAUUUUAUACUAGAGUAUUUGGUUUUGUGCAUGAUUUUAUAUGGGAUUUUAUUUGUGAUUUGGUUUUGUUGAUGGUGCAGAGAGAUUCUGUAUAUGUGAUUUGUCUAUCACUGUUUGGGGAUUUGAUCAUUUUAUAUGGAAUUUUAUAUGAUUUCAAAACACAACCUAGAGUAUAUGGAUUUUGUGUAUUUGAUUUGAUUUUAUACCAGAAUACGAUUUUGAUCAUUGUAUGCGUAGCUUUGUAUGAUAGUAUAGAUUUUCUAGAAAUUAUGCAUUUCAGAAAUUUCGAACCAUUUGGCAAGGUAAUGAAUUUCUUGAUUGUUUCCUUUGUGCCCUUUUGUUGUUCGAUGAAAUGCUCAAAUGAAUGGUCAUUGUGAAAAUCAGUUUUAACUUGAUCUAUCCAUGUGUGUUUAUAGGAGCAAAAGUUCAAGAAGUUAGUGAUAGAUCCUGGUGCUGCCAAGGAUUUUGAAAGACCAUUCAAGCCACAUCGGAAGCCAGAUGAGCAUGUAGAAUAGAGCCAAUCUUAUGAUCAUCUAGGGCCCAAGCCUUCCAAAUCUGAACAUUUCCCCAACUCCUUUGGAAGCAAUUCAAACUCCGAAGAAUUACCGUAAACCUAGGCACAUCCAUGCUGCAGCAUCUUCUCCACCCCACCCCACCCCCAAAAAAAUUUAUCUAAUCUUGCAGCAAACAUCGAACUUUUGAAUUU